ensembl:antisense Gm43403 predicted gene 43403
ACCACGUGAGCUUCCCUCCCGGUCUAGCCUGGCCCCCUCGCUGACAACCGGCGCCUCUCGGUUGCCCUCUGGCCUGGCCUUUCGUGUCCGCAGAUCUCGGUUUCCUUCAGAGUCCUGCCUUCUGACAGGUGGCUCGAAGGCGUCCGGCAAGAAGAGCUCAGCUCGGCCUCUACUUGGUGAACCACUUCCCUGAUAAAAGUGUCACCUACCCCACCCCCGGAAGCUUGGGAUGAAGCGGUUUUUUAUAAUGAAGUCACCGGCCAUAUUUUUGCGAAGACUUCGCAUCAAUGGGAUGCACCUAUAGCCUAGUGUCUAAAGUUGAUUUGUUGAAACAUUAAAGCUAUUAUGUGUCAGCUUUCCUACACUAAAA